GACUGAAGAAGAGGAUGUGAGUAGA
rnacentral:piRNA from 1 species